rnacentral:rRNA from 1 species
GACGUAGGGCGCGAGCGUUGUACGGAUUUAUUGGGCGUAAAGAGCUCGUAGGCGGCUUGUCGCGUCGUCCGUGAAAACUUGGGGCUCAACCCCAAGCUUGCGGUCGAUACGGGCAGGCUAGAGUUCGGUAGGGGAGACUGGAAUUCCUGGUGUAGCGGUGAAAUGCGCAGAUAUCUGGAGGAACACCGGUGGCGAAGGCGGCGUUCUGGACUGUUUCUGACACUGAGAGACGAAAGCCAGGGGAGCAAACGGG